UCCCUGGCAAGGUUCAUCCCCUGCACUCCAGGUGUGCUGACCCCUGCAAUUUCCCCAAAUGCGGGAAACUCAACUGCAUAAUUUGUGGUAGUGGGGGACUGCACUUUCCCCUG
rnacentral:snRNA from 9 species